UCGGACAUGGUGUAUGGUGCACGGCCCUGAAUUGUGUGAGGUCAUCCGUGAUACAUUUGUUAGGGGCAGGACGGGGUUCGACUCCCUGUGUCCGAA